GUGGGGCAAGAUCAGCAACAGGAGAUGAAAAUCUCAGAUCUGAGGAAGAGUUUUACUGGGUGUUGUGAAAACUCCCUGGGACAAAGCACACUCCUCUCCAGGGACAUUGUCCUGUAGCAAGCUGAAAAAUCCAACAGAAAGACAAAAAUCAAUGGCCAGUGAAAGAAAACAAAUAGCACUUAACAGCUGACGGCUUUCAUGGGCAUCCUGUCCCACCUCCAUCUCCAAAGAUCCCUCUGCAGAGCCGUGGGUGCUGUGAUGGGACACAGAGCUCCCUGCAGGAGCCCUGGCCUCACAUUGCCACCCCAUCAAUGGAACAGAUGAUGUGACCUCAGAAAGCACAGCACAACCAGCACAACUGCUGAAAAGGAAACAACUCUGCAGGUGCUGAGCUUCUGAUGGACACCAGAUGUCACCUAACAAAUGUACCCAUCCACAGGAGCUCCAGGAGGAAGCUGCUGCAGCUUUGCAAUGUCCUCAGCCCCAUCACAACCAGCAGACUGAACUGACUGAUGCAGGGAUGAGUUCAUUCAACACCCAGAGAAAAGGUGGCAGCUGCACGAGGGGACAGGGACAGAACUGGUUGUGACCAUGGGUCAGCAGCUGAGGAACCAGUCCUGCAAUGUGGAUCAGGGAGAGAGAAAUGGCAAUUGUUUCUCACAGUGAGAAUUGUGAGAAUUUUAGGAGUUGUAGGAAUGUGAUACUUGUUAGUACAAACAAUCUACAGGUAGCGUUUUUCCACUUUGUUUUCCUCAAGGACAGGAUGUGAAAAAAAUGUUUUUUAUUAACUAGAGGAAGCUGCUGCAGCUUUGCAAUCUCCUUCUCAGCCCCACAGGUUGAGCUGGCUGCUGAUGCAGGGGUGAGUUCAUUCAACACCCAGAGCAAGGUGGCAGCUGCACAAGGGGACAGGGACAGAGGUGACCGGGACAUGCCCUGGUUGUGAGCACACGGGUCAGCAGCUGAGGAACCAGUCCUGCAAUGUGAUGCCAGCCUGGUCAGGGGCAGAGAAAUGACAAUUGUUGCUCACAGCGAGAAUUGUGAGAAUUUUAGGAGUUGUAGGAAUGUGAUAACUUGUUAAUAUAAACAAUCUACAGUUUGAAUUUUUCCACUUUGUUUUCCUGUUCUUCUCAAGGACAGUUUGUGGAAAUGUUUUUUAUUAACUAGCCAAUCAAGUAGAAUAUGUCA